AUAAAUAAAAAGAAUGUUUUUUAUGUACUUUAUGCUAAGAAGAUUUCCAAGUUGUAUAAACUUGCAGAUUCUAGUGAGUGAUGACUGUCUGGGGUGACAGCACAGCAGCUGGCAAGUUGAAGAACACAAAGAUCUUGCAGACAUGUGGAACCAUCCUGAGUUCUGUCAGCCAAUUCUGGUUUUAGCACAGUGACUCCUAGUCCAGGUCAAGAAAGUUACCAGUGCGGAAGCAGAAGAAGAUAAGGAUGGCUAGAAGGUUUUAUGUAGAGAGAUGUGCUGUGCCUUCCCUUUCGUUGCAUAGAUCUCUGCUUUUGGAACAACUGGUCUGGAAGAAAGAUGAAGUGGAGGAGAGAUGUUGGACAGAGGAGAAUUCCAAAUUCCAUGUACUUACAGAUCGUGGAAAGGACCCACACUUGUAUGUGCCACAAAAGAUAGACAAAAGGAUGCUUCCUUCUCUACUUUAUACUGAACAUGAAAUGGUGUGAUCAGGCCAAGUUAAGGCAGUUUUGCUUACCAUCUGAAACUCGAAAAGAAAGUAGUGUAAAAGGAACUUAAGAAAACCCAAUGGAGGAGCUAGAGAAAGUAUCCAUGGAAUUAAAGAGAUCUGCAACCCUAAAAGAGCCUGUAGUGCAUCGCUUUGGGAAAAGUGACAGAAGAAGGUCUUGAGGACUCCCUUGAAGAAAACAAACUCAGAGAAAGCUCAUCUUAGUUGAGAACAGAAAUGUGCUCAGGGCUAAGAAAUCAAUGAGUAUCCAUCACUCUUUCCAAGGCAAUAACUCUGAUUACUUUAAAUGGAAAAAUGAACUGUACUUCAAACUACUACGUUUAAACUCUCCCCCAUUAUUAGGUUAAAGAAAAAUUAGAACACAGUUUCACUCUAUACCUCAUGUUGACCUCAAAACUUUGACACUUCUGCCUCACUCUUCCUUACUGAGAUCAUAGGCAUACCACCACACCUGGUUAAGAAACUCCACACAGUAUUUAAGAUCAUCAGAAGAUGUCUUUACCAUAUUGGAACAGGGAGCACAGCCGAGGGGUCUCCAUGCACUGUUCGCUCUGGCAGAAGAUAAAAUUCCAGAAAUCAAGUAACAUGUAAGAUACUAAGUUACCAUGGUGCCUGAUGUUGCACCAAUGAUUCUCUGUGUACUUGAAGGUCCUGGGCAAUCCCUUACCUUUGUAGGGUUGCUUUUCAUCAUCUGCACUCAAGACUAUUGGAUAAAGGACUUGUAAAACUCAAAAGCAGGCACAUAGUAAUGUAAAUCCAGGUAGUCAAUGUCCUAGUGAUCAUCCAAGAUGAGAACAAAGCCAGCAAGAGAAAAUAGGGUCAUUUGAAGGAUUGACUUUUAACUAGGAGGUGAAGAAUCUCACUUAAAAUCUGUGCAUCCUAUUCACGUGCAAAUGUUAGAGUACCAAGGUGCGCAGAGAGGAAGAUGCUUCAAGAGAGCAGCUAAAGGGUGUGUGUGUGUGUGUGUGUGUGUGUGUGUGUGUGUGUGUGUGGUGUUUUUGUGAUAUCUGAACCAUCCAAAGAGCCUGAGAGGCAUCAACAUGCUGUUCUAUGCAUGACUGUGUUUCCUCUAGUUAUUCAACAGUUACAAAUUGGUCCAUAUUUUCUAAGACAGACAAGAGAAACAAGUGAAAGUGCCACACAGAAUGUUUUAUAGCAACACAUCUUCAGAUCUAAUUACUAUUUUUAGAAAACAGGAAAAGAGAACUUGCCAGCAGUAAUUGUUGAAGAUAACGCAUAUUUUCUCGGGAGGAGAGUGUUAUUCUGUCACCCCCCCUCCCCCAUUUCACUAUAAAGAUAAUGGAAAACGCAAGUUUUCUUGAAAUAGAAGUGGGGGAGUGGAGACUUGGGAACCACAUGAUCACACACAAGCAAAUUCUGAUUUUCUAUGAUAGUUGAGUCCCUAUCAAAGCAAGAAGAGAAUCAAGAAUGAAUGAGGGCUUAAACAUAAGCUGAAUGGAAGGCUCAUCGUGUCAAAGGAAGUGCAUGGCUGAAACCGUAAACUAAGAACCCCUGACUUGGGAGCUCAUAGGUUCCAGGAAGUAACCUAUUACUGUUAUUUUGCUUUUCUAAAAUAGUAUUCACCUGCCCUCUGAAUCCAAAUCCCCAUACCACAGAUUAGUGAGGCUCCCAGUCCUCAUCAGAGAAGCUUCAUUGUGGAAUGAAUGGCAGUUAAUGUAGUGACUCACAUACAUAAGUGCAGAAAAUACAAGUCUGUGAAGAGCUCAGUCAUAAAUGGGACUUUUGUAUCAUGCCCUGUGGGUACAUUGUAUGAAGGUAUGUCUAUAUAUUUAAUGGUUAAUUCUGAACCGGCAGAGAACUAAAUUCUGGUAGGAGUCUAGUAUUGCCAUUUCUGUGGUUCAUCACUGGUCUCAUGUUUUGUAAAUAUUUGAUUAUUCGUUGUUAUCUGCCUAGGUCAAUCUAGAAUUGGCUUAAUCUGGUUGGCUAUAAUAAAGAUCUGAUGGUCAAUAGCUGGGCAGCAAGUGGAGGGAGAAUCUUCUAGAAGAGAGAGGAAUUCUGGGAGAAGAAAUUAGAGGCUCAUAAGCCUCUACCCCUAGCUGAGAAACUAAUAAUAGCUGAUGGCUUCUUGAGGGAGUGAGAGUCAGUUUCUUUAAUGGUCCAUGGUAGGUCAACCAUGUGAAUGGCCUUGCAACCGUACCUAUAUGGUAAGCACUAAUUAGAACUUGUAAAUUACCAAAGAAUUUGAAGAUGAAUUUGGAAGGAAGCUUGGGAGAUGGACUCUGGUAGAGUUAGUAGAGAUAGUGGGGGUUUGAAUAUGAUCAAAAUUAGUACAAAUACACACAAAUACACAAAUUAAAAUAUGGAGUUUGUUAUAAAUCCUUAAAAUAUGAGUUAACAAGAGUAAGAAAAAUGUAAACUGAAAAUGCGAGAUUUUCAAGAAUGCAGUCAUUUGUCUCUACAGCAGAACUGACUCCUGGACUGGGCACCAUGAAGGAUGCUUUGGCCUUAGUAUGAAUGUGUUUGUGAAUGUGUGUGUGUGCGUGUGCAUGUUUGUGUGUGUGUGUGUGUGUGUGUCAGGGAGUUAUAGUGAAUUCAAAAGGAAAAGGUAGAGGAGUUGGGAAGAACAGAUGACUUCAUGAAGGUUUGUUGGCCAUUCGUCAUUAACCAACUGAAUUUCAAAGUAGACUCUAUGCCAAGGAAGAGCUUUGUUGAUGAACUUGGUGUAAUUGUUUUCUAGACUGUACAAGAUGAACUUCCCUUCUCUGAAAUGCUUCUGACCACAAAUGUUUGCACUUUCACAAGUCACAAUAUAUGCACACAUGGAACCUAAACUUAAAUAUGAAACCUGUGUGUUCCAUGUCUACCUUUUUCAUACUCGCUGAGGCUAAUCUUACGUGAUAUUUUUUGCUAUGCUUGUAUUUGAACUCUGACCACAGUCAUAAAUGGUAUCUGAUGUGGAGUUUCCUACAUGUGACAUCAUGUUAAUGCUAAGACAAGUUAUUAUUUUGAAGCAUUUUAGAUUCUGAUGUCUUGAUUAGGGAUUUUAAACCCAUAAAGAGUGAAGGGUCAUUCAAAAAAAGUCUUCCAUGUAAAUUUAUGUUUCAGAGGAGGUUGACUUUUUCAUUGGUUGAUUUUACCAUCUUUCAAAAUCUUCAGUUUUAAAAUAACACAUAUAAUUAUGCUUGUUUCUUGAGUGUGGUAUGAUAUUUCAAUACUUGAAUGAGUGUAAUAUUAUCCAGUCACAUCUAUUUCCCCUUCUUGGCCAUUGCCUUGUGUAUUUCUCAUUUGUAGCAUAUUACAUCAUAGAGUACAAUGUAGUGCAGUCUAUGACAGUCCCUUCUUCCACCACUUUGUGCUCUGUGUGUAUUAGAAGAUUUAACAAGAGUCAUUUGCUUAGAUUGGUACAGAACAGGAUCCCACAGAGAGAAUGUGUUCCUCCUAUAGCCCAGUUUUCCUUGACUUCCUACCGUUAGCUCCCUGAGAAUCCAUGGAAGUCCUGCUAACUAGUCUGGCUGCUUCCCUGCUGUGUGCUGAACCUUGUGCCUUGGGAAAAAAUUGCUUCCCAGGAUGAGGGCGGAAAAGAUGAAAUCAUUGCUUUGCCUGUGUGUUUGAGUUUUUAGAGAAGACUUUCACAGUAAAGAAGAGUGUAUUUUUAGAAUUAUCAUGUUCUGUUUUGACAUUGCAAAUGUUCAUUUUAAACUGUAUUUAGUGAAGGUUUGAUGACCCACAUAGGGAAACCAGUUUUAAAUGAUCACCUUUCAUCCUUGGCUCAUCACAAUACCUCCAACAUUGACAAUGGUAAUUGUAGCUACACCUGGCAAGGGCAGUUGACUGGAGAAAUUUCAUGUCUCUAGCAUAGCCUGAGCAUGGCAUGCUGAUGAAGCACAGGUCCUCUCACAAGGACCUGGAUCUUGCAACAUGUCCUCUGUGGGCAGGGAGUGGGAUGGAGUGGUGUGACUGCUCUAAUGUCUGUAUGGUGUACAGACAGAAAUCAUGUUCGUAUUUCCUGAAACGACACUAAGGAAAGGGGAUCUUGUUGUAUCCUUUGCAGGUGUGUAGGACAAUGGGGGGGCUAGAGUCUGAUGAAAUCGUAAGAGUUUUUGGUAAUGUUGUUACUUUCCUCCUUUAUGCUUUCACUUCUGGUGUCCCAAAGUCAAGAUUAGGGGCAGUCAAGUAGAGCCAAUUAGAGUACUGGUACUGGAGUCCAGGUUGAUGAAGACAUGGCUUCGUCUGCUAGUGGGAGACUGGGAAAUUACUAUGUGUCACUAAAAAUGCUCUCAGAUAGAAAUUAUAAAUUCAUCCACAUUCAUGUGCCUAGUCAGCAAAGGCUUAUUGAUUGAUUGAAGGAUAACCAUAGAGCCUAGCAGGACUCUAGUAGGGGAAAGUGGUACUUUCACAGUUUUACAUGCCUAUGAAUCCUCUGGGACUUUUGCUGAAAUGCAGAUUUCCAUUCUGGGUCUAGAGUUGGGAGGGGCUUGAGACUAUAUGUCUAACAAGCUAUCCUGUGAUGCUGGACCACACUGUGGGUACUGAUGGAUACCAAUGGGCAAGGAUGGAGUGAAGCAGAGUUUCUCAAAGAAAUGAAUGUGUGCUUACAGAGUCUGCAUGCCAAUUGCUGCCCAACUAACCAGGCAAAAGCAAUCUACCUGCUUCAUGGUUAAUUUUCAGAUAUGUAGAUUUCUCUGACAAGACAUUUUCCUCCUAUAACCCUGCUCUUAGUUGUCUACUUUAAAACCCACUUUUGUAAAUAAUGGAAUUUGCAUUUAAGAAAGCAGACUGAAGAGACUGAAAAUAUGUCUUCUACCUUUUCUCACAAAUCUUGCCGGAAUAAAUGAGGGAGAUGUAAAGAAAAAGAUGGAUAUCACCUUUGGGGAAAAAAAAAAAAACCAAACAAACAAAGUCUCAAGUGAUAAUGUCUGGAGAGGGCUGACAUUGCAAUAAAGGUCAAAUAUGGGUACAGAAAGACCCAGAGAAGAUGCAUUUGUGUGUAAACAUCUCAGACAUAGGUGGCUGAGAACUAUAUCCUUAAGCAUCAAAUGCUGAGAGCAAACCAACCACUUCUUUGGAAACUGAGGAAAAGCAUUGGCUUACUGCAAUGUUCCUGGGCUCCAUUUGACCUCACAAGAAACGAAAUUGCAAACAUGAAGGAAUGCAUCCUGCGGAGAUGGUAUGAAGGAUGGUGUAUCCAUCCAUAGCAGCCCGUCUCUGUUGGCUAGAGAGUAAAACCACAUGGUGAAUGCUAAUUCUGUCCUGUGGUUUUCUCCUAGAGCCAGAGAGAAGUGAUGGCCUGGAAGAUGAGCCAUCUCUGAGGGCCAGGAAGAACACAUUAAACCUAAGUAUGAUUAAUGAAGAGGAAGCAGGCUCAGAUUCUAUAUGAGAUACCUUGACACCAAAGAACAAGAGGUAUGGAGGAAAGGACUUCUCUUGAAUGAAACUCUCACCACUUUUUAAAAAACUACCACCAAGAAGUUAAAAUUAUGUCAAAAUUAAUGUUCAUGUAAUAUUAGAAAUGAACAGUGAAGAAGGUCAAAUUAUAAACUCUGCGAAGACAACAGGAAUACACAGAGGGAGACAAAAACAGAAAGUCAUUAAAAUGGCAGAACUGGGGAGGCUAAGUCUUGUCUCUAGAGAAUCAUGUAAGGAAGACAUUUGCUACACUUAGUUCUUGUAGUAUUCCUUUUUUUGUGGUGGUGGUAAAAACAUGUAACCUAAAUUUUUCAUCAUAAUAUUUGAAGUAUAUAAUUUGGUGACAUUAAUUGUAUGUGCAGUAUUGGGCAGUUGUUACCAUGCAGAAGAGAUACAAAAGCUCUCUAUCUCUCUAUCCUCGGACCUGGGAACCUCUGAUAUACUCUUUAUCUCAAUGAAUUUGCCAAAGCAGGUGUUUCACAUAAGUGCACUAAUAUUUGUCCUUGGCUUAUUUUAUUUAGUGUUGUUUUCAAAACUGUUCCAUGUCAUAGAUUAUAUCAGUUCUUUAGUUAUUCUAACAUCCGAGUGAUAUUCCAUUGUAUGUUUUUUUGUAUAUGCAACACUGUGUGUGUGUUUGUGUGUUUGAGUGUUUGAGUGUGUUUGAGUGUGUUUGAGUGUGUUUGUGUGUGUUUGUGUGUUUGAGUGUGUCUGUGUCUCAGCACAUAUGUGUUGUGCUGAGGAAUGAACCUAUGGCCUUUUUCAAAAGCUCUGUUAUGGAGCAUACACUCAGUCCUGCCUGAGUCACAUGUUACUCAGAUAUUCUGUUUUUGUAGACACCUGGAUUGCACCCACUUGUUGGUACUGUGAAUAAUCGUGAGACACAUUAGAUUUUAAAAUGAGCAAAGCAGAAGUAGAUGAUGCAAAAUAAUGAAGAAAUAGACACAGAUGGAGGAAUUUAAAAGUGAUUAUGGGAGAGUGAUUUGUUCAAUAAUACAUAGAUAAAUGCAGAAAUAUGGAUAAGAUACAUAGUUCUUAGGGCAGGAUUCUAGGGCUGGUCACAGGAGAUCUUGAAAAUAAAAUAUUAAUUGAAAGAAAUAGAAGGAGAGAGAGAGUGAGAGACAGAAAGAGAAAGGAAGAGAGGAGGGAGAGGGGGAGAAGAGGGAGGAAGGAAGGGAGGGAGGGAGGGAGGAAGAGAGGAGAGAGAGAGAGAGAGAGAGAGAGAGAGAGAGAGAGAGAGAGAGAGAGUUUUAGUUUCCCCAUGAUUACCAGGCAUAGAUAUUUGUGCAGGGAGCUCUUUGAAACUUUAAUGAAUCAAACAUGUUAAACACUGCAGUGAUUUAAAAAAAACUUGUAAGAAAUGAAAAUCUUCUGACUUCUUUAUGUGAAAUUGAAAUUAUAUUGUUGAUAGAGUCUACUGAAGAGCAAAUAAUGCCAAUAAGAAGGAAAGAAAGAAAAACCACAGAUCAAUGUUUCCUGAUUUUAUCAAUGCAACGAUCUCCCACAAAAUGUCAUCUGGCUUUUAGAUUUCAGAGCAUCAGCAAAAGAACAAUUUCUUGUAUCAUUUGCGAAUUUUGUGCCAUUCAUGGUAUUGUCUCCUCAGCAGGACCAAGUCACGGGAGAUUAAUUUCAAAGGAAAGAAUGCUUACUAUUAGGAAAUGUAUUGAAAUAAUUUACAGUACUAGCAUCUAAAGAGUAAAGCCACACAGACAAACCAUGGUUGCAGAAAAAUGGUUAUUAUUGGAAACAUAAAGUCCGUUAUUGAUUAAGAAAAAAAGAAAAAAAGAACAGACCACAAACCAGAACCGAAUCUAUAAUUUCAUAAUUAAAAAAAAUAUUUUGUCUUAAGCCAAAAGAAGCUCCCGCUGAUGGGACAAAUAACGGAAGCGUUCACAGCUAAUGAGGAAAAACACAGCGCGUACAUUGUUUAACACUGAUUUAAGAUUCUGGCCAAUUUUCUUGUGGAUAAGAGAACAAAUAGUGGUAAAAAAUAGACAUGUAUGGAAAUAAUAUCACUGUGCUUAGAAGAUUGCAGAGAAUUAGCUCACUGCUAGAGCUAUAGCAAGAGAACAGAGCAGGGUGCCUAGAUGCAAAAAAUAAAAAAUUAAUACAUGGAGACCCCCCCCCCCCCAGUCCAUGGUAUGACACAAUAAAGAUUCACGUGGCCAGGAAGCUGAUGCUGAUACUCACAUGGGAGAAUGAAAAUCGCCAGGAAGAAGUUUUAUUCAUAGCAUCAGUGAGAAAUGUUAGAGGGUUAAACUGUUACCUGAUGCUGGUGCAGUGAGCUAUUUCAAAUCAAAGAAGACACCAUUCACUGUCUUUGGAAUCUGCAUCAGAUGGGUUGUCACAUACAAAUUUUACAUGAACAACCGGCACAUCUACUGUUAUGCAUGGGGCAGGCAGGCAGCUUGAGAAGUUCUCAGGGGACCAAUCUCAGCGAGCCUGGAAGAUGAGCAGGCAGUGCUUUCGUCAUUGUAGUCUCUUGUCUAACUGGCAGACUUUGUAACACUCAUGGUGUUGUCUCUUUAAAAAAGCAGUUUGCCAUUUUUAAUUUUAUGAAUCCAGCUUAAGAUAUAGAGACAAGGUUUAAAAAAAAAAACAACAAACAGAACCAAAACCCAAAGAUACCAGCGGUGAGUGUAGAAUGGUUUACUUGAAUUGCAGCAGGGACCCCCCCCCCCCCAACCCCCGAGCUUAGCUGUGUGCUUAGAAGCUCCCAGGGAUGAAAUACCUUAGGAAGACAAGGAACUCUUAUAGAAGGCAAAGAACUCUCAGGCAUCAGCUUUUUACCUAUUCCCAAGGUUUGACCCUGUGUGAGGCACUUUCUCCCUGCAGUGGAGGGGGCAGGAGCGGUUGGAGCUGGAAGCUUUAACCAUUUCAGUUCCACUAGGCUGGAGCUGAUGCUUUCCUGAUGAAAUCUAAGAGGUUGCCAACCAACAUGCUGUUUGAGCGAAUGCUUGAAGAUACAGCUGCAUGGAAAUUCCCUUAGAAAAGGUAUAGAAAAAAAAUAUAGCCAACAUCAGAAACUAUCAGGGGCCUGCAGAUCACUACAUAUGAGUUGCUAGAAUGGCUACCACAUAAAACCAGGUAAGUGGUAGCAAAUGUGGGCAAGGAUACAGAGAAGAGUGAAUCCUUGUAUGCUAUUGAUGGGUAGGCUGAUUGUUCAUAAAGAAAUGACCAUUCAAACUACAUGAGCCAGCAGCCUCUCUAUCAAGUCAUACAUGCAAUCAGUCGCUGCCCAUGAGACUGAUGCCUUCAUGGCCACCACAGCAUCACUCAUCAUAGGCAAUAAUCAAAGAAACUCAAAUUCUGAAUAUAUAAAAACAGUAGGAAAAUGGGGAAAAUGGAAAGACAAGGGACCGAAGAGUACAACUUUGAGUCUUGUGGAGGAAGAAAAUGUAGCCAGUGUGCAGCAUAAAGACUAGAGUUAAUAGCCUUACUUUAUAUCAGAAAUUUGCCAAGAGAGAUUUUAUGUAUUUUUACCAACACACACACACAUACACACACACACACACACACACACACACACACACACACACACAGGCACACUGUUGUGAGAUGGAGGGGUAUAUCAAUUUACUUGGUUGUAGCAAUCAUUUUACUAUGUAUAUAUGAGUCAAAAAACCAUUUUGUAUACAUACAAUAAAAAGAAAAUAAAUGGCAAAUCCCUAUUCCUUUUUGGAGAUAGAUUCUCUCUCCAUCCCCCUUAUAUGUAGAAACCCUGGAGUUGCCUGGCCUACUCCCAGUCUGUUUCCCAGGUUUUCAGGAUACUUUCUUCAGUGAGAACAGCUUGGUUUAUUGGUUAGCAUGGGCAAUAUCACAAGUGUUUAACUUCUGUUUCAGAAGGCAAACACGGAUGUGUUUACAUUGCCCUUUACGAGUUUUCCCACUGGCAAAGCCUUUGGCACGGAACAGGAGAAAUGCUAAACAGAAUAAAUUCCAGCCCGAAGUUCCUUUUCCGCAGAUGCCUUUCGGGAAAAAUUCUAUGAAGUCUGAUGACCUUGGAAACCACAGUCGUCAUCGAGCAAAGUCCUCCAGGAGCAUAGGUCGGUAGUGGGUCCCAAAGUCCCUAUUUAUGCUUGGAAGAGGAGUGCAGUAGGUAAGAUUCUACCUUACAAAAUGCGCUGUCACAAUCCCUGAAUCAUUUACAUUUCAUAUGUUACCCCCUUUUGCGGUUUCCCCUCCACAAACCCCCAUCC